rnacentral:rRNA from 1 species
GAUGAACGCUGGCGGCGUGCCUAAUACAUGCAAGUCGAACGCUGAAGCUUGGUGCUUGCACCGAGCGGGUGAGUUGCGCACGGGUGAGUAACGCGUAGGUAACCUGCCUCUUAGCGGGGGAUAACUAUGGGAAACGAUAGCUAAUACCGCAUAAAAGUCGAUAUCGCAUGAUAUUGAUUUGAAAGGUGCAAAUGCAUCACUAAGAGAUGGACCUGCGUUGUAUUAGCUAGUUGGUGAGGUAACGGCUCACCAAGGCGACGAUACAUAGCCGACCUGAGAGGGUGAUCGGCCACACUGGGACUGAGACACGGCCCAGACUCCUACGGGAGGCAGCAGUAGGGAAUCUUCGGCAAUGGGGGCAACCCUGACCGAGCAACGCCGCGUGAGUGAAGAAGGUUCUCGGAUCGUAAAGCUCUGUUGUAAGAGAAGAACGAGUGUGAGAGUGGAAAGUUCACACUGUGACGGUAACGUACCAGAAAGGGACGGCUAACUACGU